GCGGGCCCCUUAAUUAGGUCAGUCAGCGCCAUCCCCCUCCCUUACAAAAAGUUGUGGAGCCGCCACUAAAACUGGUGUGAAAUACUUCAAGAUAGUGAUAACAUACUAUUACGUGUAUUGUGUUUUGUGUAUUAAAAUAUCUAAUGAUAUUGGGCUUUUAUUUUUUUAAUUUGUGUUUUUUUCAUAUAAUAUUGGCUUAACCAUAUAUGCAAUCAUAACAAAUGGGGUUAAGUAUUUAGAAUCCAUAAUUUGUUUUUUUCUAAUAUGUCAUAUAACGGAGUAAAGAAAAUCUGCAAAUACGUAUUUAACGAGGUACAUGUAGGCAUUAUACGUAUUUAACGAGGUACAUGUAGGCAUUAUACGUAUUUAACGAGGUACAUGUAGGCAUUAAGUAUCGUCACGUCAUUCGACUAAAAUAG
rnacentral:lncRNA from 1 species